UCCCUGAUGUUCCAGUACUUAGGACUCGGUGCUUUCAGUGCCGGGGUCUGGGUUCAAUUCCUGGUUGGGGAA
rnacentral:tRNA from 1 species